CCUACGGGUGGCUGCAGUGGGGAAUAUUGGGCAAUGGGCGCAAGCCUGACCCAGCAACGCCGCGUGAAGGAAGAAGGCUUUCGGGUUGUAAACUCCUUUUGUCAGGGACGCAGCAAGUGACGGUACCUGACGACUAAGCCACGGCUAACUACGUGCCAGCAGCCGCGGUAAUACGUAGGUGGCAAGCGUUCUCCGGAUUUAUUGGGUGUAAAGGGCGUGUAGGCGGGAAUGGUAGUCAGAUGGGAAUACUAUGGGGUCAACCCAUAGCGUGCAUUUGAAACUGGAUUUCUUGAGUGCUGGAGAGGCAAUCGGAAUUCCGGGUGUAGCGGUGAAAUGCGUAGAUAUACGGAGGAACACCAGUGGCGAAGGCGGAUUGCUGUACAGUAACUGACGCUGAGGCACGAAGGCCAGGGGAGCGAAAGGGAUUAGAUACCCGUGUAGUC
rnacentral:rRNA from 1 species